rnacentral:lncRNA from 1 species
CAGAUUAAUUUGUUCUGGCUGUGGAACUGGGGAAACACGUUAUCAGGAGCAGCUCUGCUGGAGAUGAAUUUCAUCCAUUCUAAACUGAUAUUUCUAGUUUCUGAGUGCGCUCAUGCCCAGGAUGCUGGAGAGGUGCAGCCUCUGUGGGAAUCCUGUCAUUUUCUGUACUUUUCAAUAGCUAACAUGAUUCAUCAUGGUGCUAUUACACGUUCUGAAUUAUCCCUCUUCUUUAAAGCUAUGUGUGAAUAAGGAAAUCUGUUUCCCUUUGUGUUGAAUUUAAAAUAGAGAUGUGUUAUGGAUUAUCUGUAGCGUCCUAGCUUCCAGUAUUCAAUGUCUUAUUGACAGACUUAUUAAGUCAAGGCAGGUGACAACUGAAACACAAGAUUUUUUUUUGCUGAGAUGCCCAAGAAACACAAAAACAAGAAUAACUGACUUAAUUUAAGAUGGACAAAAGACAUAUGCUGACGCCUACAGACACUGUCUACGGUGUAGCUGUUAACAGGAUGAACCGAGAGGCAUGGCCUUGCAAGUCCAUUCCACAUACC